rnacentral:rRNA from 1 species
GACGAACGCUGGCGGCGUGCUUAACACAUGCAAGUCGAACGAGAGGACAAGAGAAGCUUGCUUCUUUUGGAAUCGAGUGGCAAACGGGUGAGUAACACGUAAACAACCUGCCUUCAGGAUGGGGACAACAGACGGAAACGACUGCUAAUACCGAAUACGCUUGGGAGACCGCAUGAUCUUCCAAGGAAAGGGUGGCCUCUACUUGUAAGCUAUCGCCUGAAGAGGGGUUUGCGUCUGAUUAGGCAGUUGGUGAGGUAACGGCCCACCAAACCUACGAUCAGUAGCCGGUCUGAGAGGAUGAACGGCCACACUGGAACUGAGACACGGUCCAGACUCCUACGGGAGGCAGCAGUGGGGAAUCUUCCGCAAUGGGCGAAAGCCUGACGGAGCAACGCCGCGUGAGUGAUGACGGCCUCGGUGUAAGACUCUGUGAUCGGGGACGAACGGUCCGUAAGCC